rnacentral:rRNA from 1 species
CGGCGGACGGGUGAGUAACACGUGGGUAACCUACCUAUAAGACUGGGAUAACUUCGGGAAACCGGAGCUAAUACCGGAUAAUAUAUUGAACCGCAUGGUUCAAUAGUGAAAGACGGUUUUGCUGUCACUUAUAGAUGGAUCCGCGCCGCAUUAGCUAGUCGGUAAGGUAAUGGCUUACCAAGGCAACGAUGGGUAGCCGACCUGAGAGGGUGAUCGGCCACACUGGAACUGAGACACGGUCCAG